rnacentral:lncRNA from 1 species
UUACAAUUUUCUCUUUUCCCUCUCACACACAAAAUUAUUGGUUUGGCUGUUUUUUCCCUCUUCUUUCAGCUCAGAAACAGCAAAUUACUAUAAAAAAAAAUCCAUUUCUUAGAAGAAAGAACGAUUUAUUAGUGUUUCCAAUAUAAUGGGAAAUUGCAUGGAAGCAUGUUUACGAAGGGAAGAAAUAGAGGAAAGUAUUCAUCAAGAAAUAGAAACAGAUGAAAAAACAAACGAAAUUCUCAAGGCCGAAAAAGAAAUGGAGAAAAAAGGAAAUAAUAGUAUGAGAAUAAAGAUAGUUUUGACUAAAGAAGAGCUAGAAAUGUUAUUUCUUCAGUUGAAACUCAAAGAAGAGAAAAUUUUAGAGGAUAUUUUGGAAGAAAUAAAAAGAAGAAGAGAAAGAAGAGAUUCUAAGUGGAAACCAUCUUUAGAAAGCAUUACAGAGAGCCCAGUUCCAGAAAUAAUGGAUAGAUUAUGAGUUUAAAAAGAAAAAAAUGUAUGCAUUUUUGUCUAUUUUUUUAUUUGUUUGCCUUGUUUUGAUAUUCUGUUCUCUCUAUUUUUUUUUCGCUUUAUCAAUUAUCUUUUUUGAUAUAAUCAUUUGGUAACUGGUCUGAGUAAUUUAGAUUCUCAAUGCAUAUGACUCAUUUAAAGGAAGAAAGUAUUCUCUAUCAAAAAUAUAUUCAUUU